AUUGAACGCUAGCGGGAUGCUUUACACAUGCAAGUCGAACGAGUGGCGGACGGGUGAGUAAAAUAACGGAACGUGCGCAGUAGCGGGGGAUAACUACUCGAAAGAGUGGCUAAUACCCCAUACUAAUGGAGCGGCCGAUAUCGGAUGGGCUAGUUGGUGGGGGAAAGGUUCACCAAGGCAACGAUCCGUAGCGGGUUUGAGAGGACGACCAGCCACACUGGGACUGAGACACGGCCCAGACUCCUACGGGAGGCAGCAGUGGGGAAUUUUGGACAAUGGGGGAAACCCUGAUCCAGCCAUCCCGCGUGUAUGAGAAGGCCUUCGGGUUGUAAAGUACUUUUGGCAGAGAAGCGGUAUCUUCAGAAUAAGCACCGGCUAACUACGUGCCAGCCGCCGCGGUAAUAC
rnacentral:rRNA from 1 species